rnacentral:piRNA from 1 species
CAAAGAACUUCUGGUGGCUUCUGUGGACU